UGGGGAAUUUUGGACAAUGGGCGAAAGCCUGAUCCAGCCAUGCCGCGUGCAGGAUGAAGGCCUUCGGGUUGUAAACUGCUUUUGUACGGAACGAAAAGACUCUGGUUAAUACCUGGGGUCCAUGACGGUACCGUAAGAAUAAGCACCGGCUAACUACGUGCCAGCAGCCGCGGUAAUACGUAGGGUGCAAGCGUUAAUCGGAAUUACUGGGCGUAAAGCGUGCGCAGGCGGUUAUAUAAGACAGAUGUGAAAUCCCCGGGCUCAACCUGGGAACUGCAUUUGUGACUGUAUAGCUAGAGUACGGCAGAGGGGGAUGGAAUUCCGCGUGUAGCAGUGAAAUGCGUAGAUAUGCGGAGGAACACCGAUGGCGAAGGCAGGUUACCAAGAUAUAACUGACGCU
rnacentral:rRNA from 1 species